rnacentral:rRNA from 1 species
CCAAUAGCGUAUAUUAAAGUUGUUGCAGUUAAAAAGCUCGUAGUUGAAUUUCGGGGUUAGUAGGUUGGUCAUGCCUCUGGUAUGUACUGGUCUCACUGAUUCCUCCUUCCUGAUGAGCCGUAAUGCCAUUAAUUUGGUGUUGCGGGGAAUUUGGACUGUUACUUUGAAAAAAUUAGAGUGUUUAAAGCAAGCUAACGCUUGAAUACAUUAGCAUGGAAUAAUGAAAUAGGACGUUCGAUCCUAUUUUGUUGGUUUCUAGGAUUGACGUAAUGAUUAAUAGG